AUUGAACGCUGGCGGCAUGCUUUACACAUGCAAGUCGAACGGUAACAGGCCGCCAGGUGCUGACGAGUGGCGAACGGGUGAGUAAUGCAUCGGAACGUGCCCAGUCGUGGGGGAUAACUACUCGAAAGAGUAGCUAAUACCGCAUACGAUCUAUGGAUGAAAGCGGGGGACCGCAAGGCCUCGCGCGAUUGGAGCGGCCGAUGUCAGAUUAGGUAGUUGGUGGGGUAAAGGCUCACCAAGCCAACGAUCUGUAGCUGGUCUGAGAGGACAACCAGCCACACUGGGACUGAGACAUGGCCCAGACUCCUACGGGAGGCAGCAGUGGGGAAUUUUGGACAAUGGGCGCAAGCCUGAUCCAGCAAUGCCGCGUGCAGGAAGAAGGCCUUCGGGUUGUAAACUGCUUUUGUACGGAACGAAACGGCUCUGGUUAAUACCCGGGGCUAAUGACGGUACCGUAAGAAUAAGCACCGGCUAACUACGUG
rnacentral:rRNA from 1 species